rnacentral:rRNA from 1 species
UGGGGAAUUUUGGACAAUGGGCGCAAGCCUGAUCCAGCCAUUCCGCGUGCAGGACGAAGGCCUUCGGGUUGUAAACUGCUUUUGUACGGAACGAAAAGGCUCUGGCUAAUACCUGGGGCUCAUGACGGUACCGUAAGAAUAAGCACCGGCUAACUACGUGCCAGCAGCCGCGGUAAUACGUAGGGUGCAAGCGUUAAUCGGAAUUACUGGGCGUAAAGCGUGCGCAGGCGGUUAUGUAAGACAGAGGUGAAAUCCCCGGGCUCAACCUGGGAACUGCCUUUGUGACUGCAUAGCUGGAGUACGGCAGAGGGGGAUGGAAUUCCGCGUGUAGCAGUGAAAUGCGUAGAUAUGCGGAGGAACACCCAUGGCGAAGGCAAUCCCCUGGGCCUGUACUGACGCUCAUGCACGAAAGCGUGGGGAUCAAACG